rnacentral:tRNA from 5 species
CGAAGUGUACCCAUCCUUCGGAGGGAUACACUUCGUUAGGGAUACACUUCGU